ACAACAAACUCGUCUAGCCAUGUUAUUUAAUAACAAGGUUUUACGCUGCAGUAACUGAAACAACGGACGAAAUGUCAACUGGAAAAUAACUGGCGAUCCGUCUAUGGAAUGAUGGACCUUUUUUAAAAAGAAACCGUCCUGGUUUCCCAACUGAAACGGAAUUUGUUGGUAAUCUCAGUGUUGCUAGAGCGCACGCGACUGGGGUGAUCAGCACCAUGACUGUUAAAUAACCGUGAGUACCAGAACCGAGUCAAGCAAUCUCCCGUUUAACAGACUUCGCUAUCAUUCGCUUCAAGCCUGGGGACACAAUUUUGAUUGUCGUAUCUCAACCAGCGAGCUUAACUAUUUCUCCCCAACACAUGGAUGCUUUUAUAUCAGAACUUUUCACGCGAGGAAUAUCCAAAGACAGCUUGUACAUUUUCUGUCAUUGUUUGGAGUCCAAGUUCAAUAAGUCUAAGAAAUACGAAACGAUUGUAAAAUGCGAGGACGCCAUCCGAGAAAACGUGACGCUAUGCGGGUAUGACCAGCAGCAAACGCAUACCUUUUAGCGAUGGUCAAUGCUAGUUUCCAGCUUGUCUUAUUUAAGAUGUAGAGCAGCGGAUCAAAAUAUCACCUAAAGGACGAAACACUAUUGAUUCCUCAAACAGGAUCUCCAACACAUAGGAAAAUCGAAAGGGAGGAAUUCGGGAACUUCGUUACUGUGUUGAGAGCCAGCUACAUUGAUGAUGCGAUUCGUUUGUCGAAAUGUCCCAUCUUCAUAUCCAAAGUGAAAAGACCUCUUUUUGUUUUUUUCAGUGGAGAAGUUGGGAUGGACGGUGGUGGUCUUAGAAGGAACUUCCUUUCGAAGAUCGUGGAUUAUGGUGUUCGUGUCUUUGAAAGAUUCGGUACGGAAGUUGGAUUGAAUACAGCAGAUGUAGACGACAUAUACUUCAUGCUUAGUUUCUCUUCAUCUCUUAGCCUCUCCCUUCUUAGCAAUGUCAAGAGAUGGUAUGGCGAUGGGACAUUUUUUAUAACACCAAAACUUUUCGACCAGGUGUUUGGUAUCCAUGCCUUCACCCGGCACGGUACCUUUACGAAGUAGGUCCCUCUUCUUACAGUUCUCAUGUCCGGGAAGAGGAAGAAAGAUUAUGAGGCGGUUCUAUUUUCUAUAAACCUCAUCACCUUCCAAAUUAAGAUGAAGACCGAGGCCGACAAAAUUUCCAUGAAGGCAAAACUCUUUUCUAAAAACAGGCAUUGCGGAGACUAAAUAAAGUUGCUGUGUCCAAGCAGAGUCAUCUGACAACUCUUUGGGACAACUAUAAUCGUGCCGACCAUCCACUUUCUUCUCUCCAAUUGCUGGAGGAACUUGGAAAAAUAACACAAAAGUUUUCAAAAGCUGACCUCAGAGCAAUAAGCGGAGCUAAGGAAGAUGAGCGAUCGGAUUAAACCCCGAAUGGCAAUUAUUUUUCAUUCAUAUUUUGUCUCGUAUUUUGUGUUCGUUUCUCGUCUCAUUUUAGCUACUGGUUAUGACUGAUGACUAGUAGUGAUGUAACCGCUCUCUGACUGUAUCUUUUUGAUCAGCAUCGAGCAGGAUCAUUAGUUCUGUGUACGCUUUCGACAUUUUUUUUGUAUAUUUAUUCAUUUAUUGAAAUUUGCCCCGUACAUCGCUAAAUUUAGGCCCGUCUGGCAGGGCCCGUAUGACAGGGCCCGUACGUUGGACAACCCCCGCAGGGAAAAGUUAAUGAAAGAAAGUAUAUGGCAUUUAAUUAGUCUAUUUUAUUAGUCUUGAACAUGUGAACGUCAAAACAUGUUUAGGCUUUUGACUACAACGUGGAUGUUUCCUUUUACAACUAUCCCAAUCUGAAUUUAUAAAGACUAGAAACGGAUUACUUUAAACAGCUUAAAAGGCAACUAGUUAACGCGAUUAGAAAUGCAAUGGAAACGGAAAGUCAUUUGAAACGCGAAGCAAAAUUACAAAAAUUUAAAGGACUUGAAUAUCUCCACAGAAAGUCAAAUGUCCAUGGUCAUCUCAAAAGUCCUAAGGUUUAGUCAGCAAAGCAAAAGAACCAAUUAAAGUUAACAGAUUUCGGAGAAUCGCACGCUCAAUUAAGUUAAAAAAAAGUCAAACGUUUCGUCGAUCCCAACUAAAAAAGUCAAACAAGGAACCACUUCAUCGUUUGAAGCUCCGGAAAUGUUUGUGUGAGAAGACAAAGCAGGAUGCGAAAAUGAAUCAACCAGUAAUCGUUCUAGAAGAAAACACAUUUUUCCUCAAAGACGAAACUGUAGCCAUACAGAUUAAAGUUAGCUGUUGUGCUGAAGCAAUGGCAUACUUAUGUGCGUUGCAUUACGUUUUUCAAUAUGCCUAACCUGAUGCCCUCCACACAGUUUUCGGCUUUUUUGGAAGGAUGUUGAAAAUUCCCCAAACACCUGUUACAGUCAAUGCAACGAUUGAAUUUUUUGGCUCGUGUAAAUGCUGUGAAUUUCUCUAUAGACAGAUUCUGUUGUGUGUGGCAUAUUUAUAAACCGAACAGAGAUCGAUAUAGAAGUGAAAGUAAAGUAGAUUUUUGUUAAAUAUUGAAUUUAAUACAAAAGUUUGUUUUUCU
rnacentral:lncRNA from 1 species